ensembl:lncRNA
AGGUGUGUUGUUGUGGCUGCUUUGUGUGGUCAGAGGUGAUGAGGGAAGAUUUGGGGACUAGCUGCUGGUGAGUCUUCACUGCUGAAGGUAAAUUUGGGGCUCUGAUUGCUGAAGGUAUUGCUGGAACAAGUGCAGAUCCAAUCCUCUGUAAGCUCUUCAUGAGCAGAAACCCAUCAGGAGAAAAAUUCAGAAACUUCACCUAUGAGAGAAGCCUGAAAGUGGAGCUGAUGGAUGGUCAAGAAAGACAAAUUAUUCUGUCAUAAGUGGUGCAGUUGGGUCACAAGAAUCCUGGAGCUGAUUUAAAACCACAUGAUGGUUUAGAGGUGAUUUUCUCUUCUGGAGAAGAAAGUUUAAAUUUGGGUGGCAUGUAAGAGAAACUGUCUGGGAAAGUACCUGGAUGGUGUUCACUCUUGCUGAAAACAAAUGGAAGACCUGGGCUAUCCUGGUGUCUUUGAGAUGGGGGACCAACUCUGCAAGUCAGCUGAAUGUGUCAGGAUGGAGAGAAGGAGGAGAUUUUUUUUAUAAUAAGAUGGCAUCUAAAAUUCUUUCUUAAUGUCUUCAUCUGUCUUUGUGAACUCCUCUAGCAGUGUUGUCUUUUAGGAAUGCUGUUACUACUUUUAUAUGCUUUUUACUUUAAUCUUUAAUACAGAGAUACUCAGCUUUUGAAAUGUGGAAAAGCCUAUGGUCAAAGACUCUUAAACUUUUUGUAUUUUAUGUUUUCUGAGGGGUUUUAACCGCAUGCAGAGAGUGGCAUCCUUUCAAACCAAAGGGAAAUGAGUCACAGAAUAUAUCUGCAUUUAACUGUAAAUUGCAUCCUACUUCUGAUAAAUGAUCAGUCUUCUUUCUUUUAUGAUUUCUUUUGUGUAUUCUUGUUUCUGCAGCCAUUACUCUCUGAUUUCCAUGAAAUGUUUUAGACCUUUAUCAUAAUCAUUCUCUUAGAACUCAGCUACGUGACAGAGUUCACUUUUUCUUUCUAUUUUUUCUUUCUUUUUUUUUGCAUACAAUUGGUUGUUAAAGUAUGUACAAGAUUGUUGCAUAGUAAGUUGAACAGAAAAAAGAUUAAAGUGCAGAAGGAACAUUUGCUAGAGUUACCUAACAUAAUGAAAAACAAAACAGAGAAAUAUACUCUACCCAAACAAAUGAACGAACAAAAACCCACAAACUUAUAUAUAGGAAACCUUUUUAAAAGUUGCUUCCUGAAUAUCAAUUGGCCUAGAGUCGAAGAUAGUUGUCUUUUUACCCUGACUCCCAUCUAUAGCUCUGUUCUAGACAUUCUGGGUACCAGAAGUGCUUCUUGGACCAGAAAUAGCUUCCUAGUUGUUUUCAGCUGUGUUAAUGCAGAGAAAGUUCCACUGUUAUGGUCUCACACAGAUGUUUUUGUAUGCACUUAUACCUUUGAAAUAAGAUGCUCAAAGAAAAUGGUAGACAAAAAGAAGUUGUCUUAGAUACAGCCGUAUGAAUUUUCCUCACUUUUCUAUAUUUUAUCUAAUGGGGUUUUGUUACAUCAAACUACUUGAGCUCUGCUUAUACUUAUUGAUUGCAGUAAAAAUGAUACAUGAUUAAAUACAUGCCUAUAAGCUUUGUUCACUAAUGAGGGAAUUAAACAUAC